CAGGUUGGCAGAGGUAGCCAGGCAUCAUGGCGGCCCUUGUCAGUGGAGAGAACGGCCGCUAUUUUGCCUGUUAUUCUUCCAUCGUAACUAAAUGAGAUAGUAAUUGACGAACACAACACACCACGUGGAGAGAAGCAAGGUGUGGAGUACCCAAGCCUCUCACAGUCCAUGCUAGUAGACUCACCCUGCAUGUGGAAAUCUCCCAAAAUGCACGGAGGUUAUUCCAGAGCUGCAGGACAGAGUACUUGAGGCCAUUGGUGAACAGAAAGCUGAGGUUGAACAAAGCCAAGAAUUGAUAGCUGCCCAAGGUGUAAGCAAGAUUCACAAUGAUGAGGUCAUUGUGACGUGUGCAAUGUGUCCACUGGUCUUGGCCUUCCUGACCAAGGCAGCCACACAAAGGAAAUUCCACGUUAUUGUUGCCGAACGUGCCCCUAAAUAUGAUGGUCACCCAGUGGCAAAAGCUUUAUGUACUGCUGGAAUUGAGACAACAUUAAUUCAAGACUCUGCAGUGUUCCCCAUCAUGUCACGUGUCAACAAGGUCAUCAAAGGUCAUCGUUGGCACCGAGACGGUGGUGACCAACGGAGGCAUUGAGACCUUUGUUGGUGCAGCCUCUCUUGCCUCACCACCAAAGUUUUAUUCUGUUCCACUGUAUGUGUGCACUCCCACAUACAAAUUUGGCUUGAUGGGCUGUGAAGAAAUAAGCCACCAAACCACCACUUCUAUUAUCCCAGAGGGAACAAAGUUUUGGCCGUCUGUAAAUACUGCGCUGACUCAGCUAGAUUACGUUCCUCCAGAAAAUGUCACCAGUUUGAUAACUAACAAUCGAGGUACUGCACCAUCCUACGUGUACCGGCAGCUUAGCGAACUGUACCGUCCCACUUCUUGUGAUCUCUAAGGUAACAGCUUUAAUCCUUGCAAAUAAGGAAUAAGAGAAAAGAGACACACCUGCCAUUUGUACUGUUAUGCUGUAGUGUUCUGUCAUUUUUUUCCUCUUUUAUCCUAGAACCGUUUUUGGUCAUUCAUGUUUCUAAAAAUUAUUAUACAAAAAUGUUGAGCUUAAUAUGUUUGGUGUAGUUUUUUGUAACGUGUUAUUAUUGUUUAUGUGUGUGGUUCCCCUCAGGAAGAAUGUUGCAGUAUUAGCAGUAAUGUUACAGCCAAUGGAAGUGUCUGUAUUGUGCUUUGGUGGGAGGUUAAUUUGAUGUAUUUUUAGAGUUGUGCAGGAUAUUAUAGCAAGCCCUCAAAAUAAAGAAAAUAACUAUAGAAAA